rnacentral:rRNA from 1 species
UACGGAGGUGGCAAGCGUUGCUCGGAAUCACUGGGCGUAAAGCGCACGUAGGCGGGUCCUUAAGUCAGGGGUGAAAUCCUGGAGCUCAACUCCAGAACUGCCCUUGAUACUGAGGAUCUCGAGUUCGGGAGAGGUGAGUGGAACUGCGAGUGUAGAGGUGAAAUUCGUAGAUAUUCGCAAGAACACCAGUGGCGAAGGCGGCUCACUGGCCCGAUACUGACGCUGAGGUGCGAAAGCGUGGGGAGCAAACAGG